CUUGACACAAAAAAAUUACUUGCUUGUACCCAUAAUCAUAAUAUUCUCCUAACUAUUGAAAAAUUUUCAAAUUACUCUCUCCUUCUCUUAGACUUGCUUAUCGAAUCAGUUGAGCUAGAUUCAGCCCUAAGCAUGACCAAAUUAGUUAUGCCCAGAUCUGAUAGCCUUGGAUACCUUAAAUACUUGGGAGUGAAAGCAUGGAGCGAGGAGCCGAAGAAACCAAAGGCCACAGCUUGUUGUCAAGGAGGAGGAC
rnacentral:lncRNA from 1 species